rnacentral:lncRNA from 1 species
UCUUCUAAAAUGAAUCUUCUUUAACAAGACUCACCAGCUCCAAAAGUCAAGACGUUCUUAUCCUCCAGUGAGUCAGAGGGAGAGGAGGAGCAUGGGAAGAAAUUCAAGAUCAAGAUCAAGCCGUUGACUGCAAACAGUGGAAACUGCACAGUGGAUGAGCUGAAGGCCUCAGUGGGGAUGCUGGCGAUCUCUCCUUCUCCUCUGAGAAAGAGUCCGGUCUGUUCUUUCUCCUUUUUUGCUGAUCUCAGAGGCGAAGUCCAGUAAGUAUGGAUCUUGUUAAUGUACUACAAAACUGUGUUGCAUAUGAUAC